rnacentral:rRNA from 1 species
GACGAACGCUGGCGGCGUGCCUAAUACAUGCAAGUCGAACGCAGUGGGGACGGGUGCGUAACACGUGGGUAACCUCCCAUCAGAGGGGAUAACACUUAGCAACAGGUGCUAAACCGAUACUGAUGGAUGGUCCCGCUGUGCAUUAGCUAGUUGGUGAGGUCACGGCUCACCAAGGCCACGAUGCAUAGCCGACCGGAGAGGGUGAUCGGCCACACUGGGACUGAGACACGGCCCAGACUCCUACGGGAGGCAGCAGUAGGGAAGAUUCGGCAAUGGACGAAAGUCUGACCGAGCAACGCCGCGUGAGUGAAGAAGGUUUUCGGAUCGUAAAACUCUUUUGUUAGAGAGGCGGUAUCUAACCAGAAAGCCACGGCUAACUACGUGCCAGCAGCCGCGGUAAUUC